rnacentral:lncRNA from 1 species
GCUGAGUGGACGAGCUUCGCGUCCAUGGCCAGUGGCGUAGCUAGGUCGUCUGGCACCCGGAGCCCAUAGGUCUUCUGUCACUCCGCCCCCCCCCUUGGGUGUAGUCAGGAAGGCGAGCAUAACGAAAAGUUCCGGGGAAAAGGGGGGGUGAGGUUUCAGCACCAGCACAGCCACCUUAUAUACGCCCCCCACCCCCCCUUCGCUUUUCGUUCCCAGAGAUCGCGAAUGUAGCAGGUGUACACGCUGUUUUAUUUUCUGCACCAAAUAACACUGGGUGCUGCAAUAAUAACUUGGGAUAAGCACAUGUGCACAUCUGCUGUCAGACUGUAAGGCUUGGCAGCCAAUACAGAUGCGACAUCGUGGAAAAUAUGGCUCACAAGUAACAAACAUAGUUUAAUAAAGUUUUAAAUAGCGAUUUUAGAGGCAAUAUUGAAUUUGCAAAAUUGAAGCCAGGAAGUCGUAUGUUGCCCAACAACUUCACAAAAAUCGUCGUAGGUACUACUGAGUGCAGUAUUUUGCCUGUGGGCAGCCCUGAACCGAAAC